GAUCCUGGUGAUGAGAAAUGAUGUCAGCCAACCCCAUGUGGGAGUGAGGACACGUCCUGCAAUUCUGAAGGGAUU
rnacentral:snoRNA from 1 species